rnacentral:misc_RNA from 1 species
ACGAAAAUUGCACAACAAUUUGAAAGUGAAAAUACGACAUCGGACAUGUGUCAAUUUUCUGGAAGCCUUAUUUUUCUUUUUCUGUCAGUCUGUGAUUAAUGAAAAUAAGUAUCUUUUUUUCUACACAAUGACAAAAGUUGCAGAUGAAUCUGAUGAAUAAUUAAAAUUAGACAAUAAUGGCUAAUGAAGAUCAAAUCGAGGAACUUGAGGCUCUAAGGUCCAUAUUUGAAAACGAAUUUACUGAUAUUUCAAAAGAUCCACCAUGUUUUAUGAUAAAACUGCAGGAUGUUCAGAUAAACGGUAAGAUAUAUUACAGUGCAUGUAUUUUAAUGUCAAAAUUAUUACCAUUCUCUUAAUUCAUACAUUUUUUUUCAAUAUCUUUUCAAUUAUAUACAUGUAUUUGAUAGGUGCAAUUAGUCUGAAGUUUACAUUACCAACAGAAUACCCAGAUAUUUCACCAGUUAUAGAGAUACCAAUAAGGAACCAAGUGUUGUCUGCAAAGAACCACAGAAAACUCAUGGGAUUUUUACAGGAAAAAGUCAGAAUGCUUCAGUAUUGCAUAUAAAUUGAUAUCAGAAUGUAAUGAAGUGUAAACUUUAAAAUUCCAGAACAGAUCUGAAAUGCAAACUACAGAUAUGUUUUAUCUUAAGCAAUUAAGUUUCUUUCAAAGUGUGAAGAGUCACUUGGAAUGGGGAUGAUUUUUUCUGUGGUGGAUGCAGCACAACAGUGGAUAAAUGAGAAUGUUUCCCCAGACACUUCUGAACAACCCCGUGAUAACAAGGUUAAGUGUAGUCUUUUUUCUUGUAUACUGCUUACAAUGCAUGUCUGCUCAAGACAUUCAUUAUCUACAUAUAUUCUAGGAGUUGGAUAAAGAAGAGAAAAUUGACUCAGAUCUUAAACCAAUCAAAUUUGAAGAACCCAAGCUGACAGGAGGAAGAUGGCAGUAUGUCAUAGGACUUGUGGGUAAGCCCUCAGCUGGGAAGUCCACUUUCUUCAAUGCAGCAACGACCCUGGAUUUAGCUAAAACUGGGGCACACCCAUUCACCACUAUAGAGCCAAAUAUAGGGAAGGCUUUCUUUUCUGUCCCAUGUCCUUGUAGCAAUCUGACAGUCAGGUGUGAUGCAGCAAAUGGUCAUGACUUCAAAGGACAAAGAUAUCUACCAGUGCUGUUAAAAGACGUUGCUGGGUUAGUUCCUGGUGCAUGGGAGGGCAAAGGUAGAGGCAACAGGUAACCCAAGUUAUUUAGAAAACUGUUGAAAUGAAAAACUAGUUCUUGUACUGUACAUGUACAAUUAAUACUCCAAACCUUUAAUAAUAUUAUUCUCAGACUUAAAAAUCAUUUUACUUGUAGUUUGUAAUAAAGUAAUUAGUUCAAAUAAUUUUGUUUAUUUAAAAAUACUGAUCUUUUGAAAUGAUGUAUGACGACAAAGAAAAGUUAAAUCUAUUAUAUGGUGAUAUCAAAAUACCUGUUUGUAUUACAGAUUUCUGAACGAUUUACUGGAUGCUGAUGUUUUGAUCCACAUCAUAGAUGCUUCAGGUACAACCAAUGAGAAAGGUGAAGAAACUGUAGACUAUGACCCUGCUAAUGAUGUACAAUGGUUGAAAGAGGAACUACAUCAAUGGAUAUAUCAAAAUGUGUGGGCCAAAUGGGAAAAUAUUGUUAAAAGACCUCAGAAACUGGUAGACAUGUUUACAGGAUACCAUGCCAACAAAGCCACUAUUUAUGCAGCCCUACGUAAUGCAGGGGUCACUGAGAGUGAGUUGUCAAAGAUAAAGACAUGGGAUGACAAGGUUCUACAUCGGAUAGUGGACUGUUUUCUCAACAUACGGUUUCCUAUUCUGUUGGUUCUAAAUAAAGCAGAUAAGGAGACUGCCACAGAUAUCAUCACAAGGUAUAGAUGUUAUAUUGAUAUUGUUAAUUGAAUACAUGGCCACACUCUCUUUUAUAAAUGUUUUGAAAUUAAACCAUAGAAUGCUUUAGAAUCAGUAUGAUUAAUAAAGAGAAUUCUCUGUAUUACUAGGAUUGCUUCUGUAUAUCAUUUCAUCAAACUCUUUCAUUGUCUUCUUAUGACAAAUUCAUUCUGAGUUUUAUUCAGACUUUCAGCUGAAUUUGGUGAUAAUUACACUAUUCCUGUGAGCGCAGAGAGAGAAUGCUUUCUUCAGAAGAUGGAAAAGGAGGGAUGUAUCAAAUACAAUAGAGGAAGUGAUUCUUUUGACAUUUUAGACUGUCCGUCUUUCAUUUUUACUGAUCUUAAAAAAGUUGAAAGUAGUAUUUUGAAGAGGUAUGGUAGUACAAAUAUCCACAAUGCUUUGUGUCAGGCUGUCAGUUUAAGAGAACCAGUUUAUGCCUUUCCUGUACAUUGCCUGGAUACUCUUCAAUCAGUCGGUAAAUCUCACGUGGAGAAGAGCCAGAUUCUGCGUGAUUGUAUCAUGUUAAAACCAGGAACCAAUGUGGAGGAAUUCCACUCUGUUCUAUGUCAUUACCCAGUCAGUCUGUUGUCAGGAGAUUUUGUGAGAGCAGAGACAGUAAAUACAGAUGGGUCAAAGAGACCAAUGAAGAAAGAUGAAGUCCUUAACAAUUCUAAUAAUAUAAUGAAGAUAAUGACUACCAAAAGAAGUUCAUAGUUUAUAAGAAUGAUCAGGGAGAAAGUUUUUAUUGAGAGAGAGAGCUGGAGAAAUGCCAAAUUUAUCAUACAUGUACGGAUAUUAUUUAUUCUAAAAUUCUUGAAUUUGAUGUAAUUUAUAUUUUUAUGUUGAAAAUAAAAGUCUGUUAAAGC